rnacentral:rRNA from 1 species
UUGAACGCUGGCGGCAUGCCUUACACCUGCAAAUCGCACGGUAACGGGCCUUCGGGUGCCGACGAGUGGCGAACGGGUGAGUAAUACAUCGGAACGUGCCCGAUCGUGGGGGAUAACGAGGCGAAAGCUUUGCUAAUACCGCAUACGAUCUACGGAUGAAAGCAGGGGACCGCAAGGCCUUGCGCGGACGGAGCGGCCGAUGGCAGAUUAGGUAGUUGGUGGGAUAAAAGCUUACCAAGCCGACGAUCUGUAGCUGGUCUGAGAGGAUGAUCAGCCACACUGGGACUGAGACACGGCCCAGACUCCUACGGGAGGCAGCAGUGGGGAAUUUUGGACAAUGGGCGCAAGCCUGAUCCAGCCAUGCCGCGUGCAGGAUGAAGGCCUUCGGGUUGUAAACUGAUUUUGUACGGAACGAAAAGCCUUCUUUUAAUACAGGAGGGUCAUGACGGUACCGUAAGAAUAAGCACCGGCUAACUACGUG